rnacentral:lncRNA from 1 species
UCCAUAGGGUCCAGUAAAAUGUUGUCUACACUGUGCAAGCUCAAAUAUUUUAUAUUUUUGCCUUGUCAGAGACCAGCAAGAGAAUUGAUUUCACCAGCCACUUCCAGAGAGGGUGUUGAAGCUCUGCUUAUCAAGCAAGGAUGCCAGUCUGACUCCAGACCACAAGAGUAUCUGGGCCAUGCGUGGGAAAUACGUCAGCACCAGUGUGCAUGGUUGGGAAGAAUAAGUGUGGCCUAA